rnacentral:misc_RNA from 1 species
UACGGAGGGUGCAAGCGUUAUCCGGAAUCAUUGGGCGUAAAGAGUGCGAAGGCGGCAUGUUAAGUCAGAUGUUAAAGACUACAGCUCAACUGUAGGAAGGUAUCUGAAACUGGCAAGCUAGAGUCUUGUAGAGGUGUGUGGAAUUCUGUGUGUAGGGGUAAAAUCCGUAGAUACACAGAGGAACAUCAAAAGCGAAGGCAGCACACUGGACAAGUACUGACGCUGUUGCACGAAAGCGUAGGUAGCGAACAGG